UACAGAGGUCUCAAGCGUUGUUCGGAUUCAUUGGGCGUAAAGGGCGCGUAGGCGGCCACCGCAAGUCAAUUGUGAAAUCUCCGGGCUUAACUCGGAAAGGUCAACUGAUACUGCGGGGCUAGAGUGCGGAAGGGGCAACUGGAAUUCUCGGUGUAGCGGUGAAAUGCGUAGAUAUCGAGAGGAACACCUGCGGCGAAGGCGGGUUGCUGGGCUGACACUGACGCUGAUGCGCGAAAGCCAGGGGAGCGAACGGG
rnacentral:rRNA from 1 species